rnacentral:rRNA from 1 species
AAGUCGAGCGGAUGAGAGGAGCUUGCUCCUUGAUUUAGCGGCGGACGGGUGAGUAAUGCCUAGGAAUCUGCCUGGUAGUGGGGGAUAACGUUCCGAAAGGAACGCUAAUACCGCAUACGUCCUACGGGAGAAAGCAGGGGACCUUCGGGCCUUGCGCUAUCAGAUGAGCCUAGGUCGGAUUAGCUAGUUGGUGAGGUAAUGGCUCACCAAGGCGACGAUCCGUAACUGGUCUGAGAGGAUAAUCAGUCACACUGGAACUGAGACACGGUCCAGACUCCUACGGGAGGCAGCAGUGGGGAAUAUUGGACAAUGGGCGAAAGCCUGAUCCAGCCAUGCCGCGUGUGUGAAGAAGGUCUUCGGAUUGUAAAGCACUUUAAGUUGGGAGGAAGGGCAUUAACCUAAUACGUUAGUGUUUUGACGUUACCGACAGAAUAAGCACCGGCUAACUUCGUGCCAGCAGCCGCGGUAAUACGAAGGGUGCAAGCGUUAAUCGGAAUUACUGGGCGUAAAGCGCGCGUAGGUGGUUCGUUAAGUUGGAUGUGAAAGCCCCGGGCUCAACCUGGGAACUGCAUCCAAAACUGGCGAGCUAGAGUACGGUAGAGGGUGGUGGAAUCCCCUGUGUA